rnacentral:rRNA from 1 species
GCAGUCGACGAUGAUUAUCUAGCUUGCUAGAUAUGAUUAGUGGCGGACGGGUGAGUAACAUUUAGGAAUCUGCCUAGUAGUGGGGGAUAGCUCGGGGAAACUCGAAUUAAUACCGCAUACGACCUACGGGUGAAAGGGGGCGCAAGCUCUUGCUAUUAGAUGAGCCUAAAUCAGAUUAGCUAGUUGGUGGGGUAAAGGCCCACCAAGGCGACGAUCUGUAACUGGUCUGAGAGGAUGAUCAGUCACACCGGAACUGAGACACGGUCCGGACUCCUACGGGAGGCAGCAGUGGGGAAUAUUGGACAAUGGGGGCAACCCUGAUCCAGCCAUGCCGCGUGUGUGAAGAAGGCCUUUUGGUUGUAAAGCACUUUAAGCAGGGAGGAGAGGCUAAUGGUUAAUACCCAUUAGAUUAGACGUUACCUGCAGAAUAAGCACCGGCUAACUCUGUGCCAGCAGCCGCGGUAAUACAGAGGGUGCGAGCGUUAAUCGGAAUUACUGGGCGUAAAGCGAGUGUAGGUGGCUCAUUAAGUCACAUGUGAAAUCCCCGGGCUUAACCUGGGAACUGCAUGUGAUACUGGUGGUGCUAGAAUAUGUGAGAGGGAAGUAGAAUUCCANGUGUAGCGGUGAAAUGCGUAGAGAUCUGGAGGAAUACCGAUGGCGAAGGCAGCUUCCUGGCAUAAUAUUGACACUGAGAUUCGAAAGCGUGGGUAGCAAACAGGAUUAGAUACCCUGGUAGUCCACGCCGUAAACGAUGUCUACUAGCCGUUGGGGUCCUUGAGACUUUAGUGGCGCAGUUAACGCGAUAAGUAGACCGCCUGGGGGAGUACGGCCGCAAGGUUAAAACUCAAUGAAUUGACGGGGGCCCGCACAAGCGGUGGAGCAUGGUGGUUUAUUCGAUGCAACGCUGAAGACCCUUACCUGGUCUUUG